rnacentral:rRNA from 1 species
UACAGAGGGUGCGAGCGUUAAUCGGAAUUACUGGGCGUAAAGCGUGCGUAGACGGUUACAUAAGUCGGGUGUGAAAGCCCCGGGCUCAACCUGGGAAUUGCAUUCGAGACUGCGUAGCUAGGGUGCGGAAGAGGGAAGCGGAAUUUCCGGUGUAGCGGUGAAAUGCGUAGAUAUCGGAAGGAACACCAGUGGCGAAAGCGGCUUCCUGGUCCAGCACCGACGUCAGGCACGAAAGCGUGGGGAGCAAA